rnacentral:sRNA from 1 species
AUAGAAGUAUUCUGGGAAGGAAAACAUCAGACGAGAAUGAAGAAAAGCCUCAGGAAGGACUUUCAGAUUCCCUGACCCAACACUGCCCAAUAUGAGUCACCUCAGAGGCGGGAAGGUCCAUUGCCUCAGUCCUACGGCUUGUUUGCCCCACAAUGCUGUCCAAGAUGCAGUCAUGAGGGCCACAUUCAAGUCUUCCAUCAAAGACCAUGAGGCAGGGUCUCCCAAUUUCUAUUGACACAGGCAUGGUUCCUCCGGCCAAAAUUGCCCUUUCUUCGUUUGUGUUAUUCUGAGCACCAUUCUUCCUCUGUGUCUGCCUCCCUCUGUGUGUCUGUGGUGUAUCAGAGCCCAGGAUCUGAGCCCUCCGCUUCUCCGUCAGUCUGGGAUCUGCACGGCAGCCAGGUGACCGCCCUCUUUAAAGCUCAAAGUGCCCCCUGCUUUUUCUGGAAUCUGUGCCCUGCAUCGGGUUGAGCUCAGUGGUGGUUUAAAUGAAGAGAAACCUUUGAAGAUGCCCUUCUCUGACCUCUUGCCUCUACAAAGACACAGACCUUUCUGAGCACCACUUUCCAGUAAGGUUUGUCCCUCAGAGCCAGCAUGGGGGAGGCUCGCCUUUCGAGCAGGCCUCCUGACAGGUUUUGGGUUUUUCUCUGAUCCAGGUUUAUAUAAUAUUCAGUCAUUCAGGUCACCACCUUCCUGUCUCUCUACCUAAGCACAGACCAGAGCAAGAGCCACAGCCGGUCAGAACACUGGGCCAUUUCCCCAGCUAGGAGCACUCUCCUGGGAAGGACUACAACUUAGUGACAAUGACAAAGAGAUGAGUUAGCAGAGAUGCUGGUGACUGCUCUGGGUACAUGUGGUCUUAGACGAACAUCUGAGUUCUACGAGCCUUGGUUUCCCUGCUGAACAUUAAGGGUUGUAACAUUGUGCCCUGCCUCCUGGAUCUAUGUCAGCCUAGAACUCCUCAGUGUAAUCUUACUUGGAGAGAGGCUUUGUAGAUUUGGCCAAAGUAGGGAUCAAGAUGUCAUUAGAUGUGUCUUAAGUCCUUCUAAGGGGAUGUCUCUGUGUGAAACAGACUCGGGGGAAGACCCCUGUGACAAAUGGUAGCAAAGAGAAGGAGGAAGCUACCAGGAGCUGAAGCAGUUAGAUCCCUAGGGAGGAAUAAUGGGUCAUGGGAGCUCCAGGAAACCAGGGCAGGGUGUCAUUAAUCAGACAUGUUCUUUUCUGCCUCACUACAGGGAAGACCAGACCACAAAGAGCUGUGUUCUCUUGGGGAAGAGACACUGCCCCUACCAGGAAGCUGGAGGCUGAGUGGCUGGAGGGGCUCUCAGAGGUAGA